GAUGAACGCUGGCGGCGUGCCUAAUACAUGCAAGUCGAGCGAACAGAUAAGGAGCUUGCUCCUUUGACGUUAGCGGCGGACUGGUGAGUAACACGUGGGUAACCUACCUAUAAGACUGGAAUAACUCCGGGAAACCGGGGCUAAUGCCGGAUAACAUUUAGAACCGCAUGGUUCUAAAGUGAAAGAUGGUUUUGCUAUCACUUAUAGAUGGACCCGCGCCGUAUUAGCUAGUUGGUAAGGUAACGGCUUACCAAGGCAACGAUACGUAGCCGACCUGAGAGGGUGAUCGGCCACACUGGAACUGAGACACGGUCCAGACUCCUACGGGAGGCAGCAGUAGGGAAUCUUCCGCAAUGGGCGAAAGCCUGACGGAGCAACGCCGCGUGAGUGAUGAAGGUCUUCGGAUCGUAAAACUCUGUUAUUAGGGAAGAACAAAUGUGUAAGUAACUGUGCACGUCUUGACGGUACCUAAUCAGAAAGCCACGGCUAACUACGUG
rnacentral:rRNA from 1 species